rnacentral:rRNA from 2 species
GGCCCGCGGCGCAUUAGCUAGUUGGUGAGGUAACGGCUCACCAAGGCGACGAUGCGUAGCCGACCUGAGAGGGUGAUCGGCCACACUGGGACUGAGACACGGCCCAGACUCCUACGGGAGGCAGCAGUAGGGAAUCUUCCGCAAUGGACGAAAGUCUGACGGAGCAACGCCGCGUGAGUGAUGAAGGUUUUCGGAUCGUAAAGCUCUGUUGUUAGGGAAGAACAAGUACCUGUUAAAUAAGCAGGUACCUUGACGGUACCUAACCAGAAAGCCACGGCUAACUACGUGCCAGCAGCCGCGGUAAUACGUAGGUGGCAAGCGUUGUCCGGAAUUAUUGGGCGUAAAGCGCGCGCAGGCGGUUCCUUAAGUCUGAUGUGAAAGCCCACGGCUCAACCGUGGAGGGUCAUUGGAAACUGGGGAACUUGAGUGCAGAAGAGGAGAGCGGAAUUCCACGUGUAGCGGUGAAAUGCGUAGAGAUGUGGAGGAACACCAGUGGCGAAGGCGGCUCUCUGGUCUGUAACUGACGCUGAGGCGCGAAAGCGUGGGGAGCGAACAGGAUUAGAUACCCUGGUAGUCCACGCCGUAAACGAUGAGUGCUAAGUGUUAGAGGGUUUCCGCCCUUUAGUGCUGCAGCAAACGCAUUAAGCACUCCGCCUGGGGAGUACGGUCGCAAGACUGAAACUCAAAUGAAUUGACGGA